rnacentral:lncRNA from 1 species
CGUGUCGUACCGCUCGAUCACGCCCUUCUUGUUGUAGAUCCGGCACAGCACCCAGUCAUCCAGCUGCAAAGAUAAUCAAUGAAACAAAGAUUUCAGCCACCAAAUCCACGCGAAAUUCAAGUGAGACGACAAAGUCAAUCGAAGAAGCUGAUUGGUUUUUCUUUUUACUACGCGUUGGAUUGGAGAUUGGAGAGGAGGCUUGGAGAUGAUGUCGACGUGCCGACGUGACGUCGGUCGUCGUCGGAUUCGGUGCGCGUUUGGUCAUUUGUUCGCGGGCGCGGGCGAUCAGGCGGCGCGCGGCUGCUCGAUCUGGCCGACCGCCCGCCCGCCCGCCCGCCAUGGUUGGUUGGUUGCCGCGCGCGCUUGUCUCUAUCCCGGCGUGCGUGAGCCAUGACGCCAUGCCGCCCGCCCGCGCUUUACAUGUCUCUAGAGCCUAUCCCUGCGGCUGCCCAAGUAGCCGCGCGCGCUGUCGCAAAAGGGACACCGCGACGCGAGCAUGCCUGCUGCCUGCCUGCUGCAAAUGGACAAUUUGCACGCCUACCUUUUUCAAUCCCUCCUCUCUUUAACUAAUCUGCAUAGUUGCAACUUGCAAGCCUAACAAACACAGCACAUUUCCAUCCACUGUUUCUUGUUGUGACAUAACAUUGGUAAAAGCAAAGAUCAAUCCUUUUUUUAAAAAAAAAAUUCUCUAUAAUUUUUUUUUUCUCUAACUGAAAGUAGUAGUCAGAAAUAUCUCCUCGAUCAGCUAUAUAUGAAUCAGCAGCAGGAUGGAGUAGCAGUGAAUGAAUAUAUAUAAUCACGUACCCUGAGGGCGUUGUUGGUCUUCUUGCGUGCGGCGGCGGAACGGUCGACGUCGGCGAGGCGGUACUCGUGCAUGAUCCAGUUGGUCUUGACGCCCUUGGGCGGCUUGCCGGCGUAGAAGACGAGGGCCUUCUUGAUGGCGACGGGGCGCGGCGACCCGACGGGCUUGUCGGCGCCGGUGGCCUUCCAGUACCCCGUCCC